GAUGAAGAACGCAGCGAAAUGCGAUAAGUAGUGUGAAUUGCAGAAUUCAGUGAAUCAUCGAAUCUUUGAACGCACAUUGCGCCCUUUGGUAUUCCAAAGGGCAUGCCUGUUCGAGCGUCAUUUGUACCCUCAAGCUUUGCUUGGUGUUGGGCGUCUUGUCUCUAGCUUUGCUGGAGACUCGCCUUAAAGUAAUUGGCAGCCGGCCUACUGGUUUCGGAGCGCAGCACAAGUCGCACUCUCUAUCAGCAAAGGUCUAGCAUCCAUUAAGCGGAGGA
rnacentral:misc_RNA from 1 species